rnacentral:tRNA from 1 species
AAACCACACACUCUUGUAGCUAAAUCCAAAAGC